GAAGAUCAACAACAAGGAUCAUUUACUGCCAACAUACAAAUGAAUCCAAUGGAGCACUAAAACGCAAUUAGAACAUAGAGUGGUAAAGUGGUGGGCAAAGGUAUUGAUGAUAACUUGGAAAAAGAAAGAAUUAUUGUUGAGAGAGAAGCAGAAAAACAAGAGGGGGAAAGAGAAAAAAAUGAAAAUGAGGUAGAAGAAAAAAAUAAUACAAAUGAAGCAGUUGAAGAUUCAGAAAAAAAUAAAAAAGAGGAAGCAUAAAAAGGUGUGAAUGAGGAGUGGAAACUCAAGAGACAAAAAGCUAGAGAGGAGAAAGGAAAGAUGAAGAGUCAUCAGUGCAAU
rnacentral:lncRNA from 1 species